GUCUACGGCCAUAUCACUUUGAAAACACCGGUUCUCGUCCGAUCACUGUAAACAUUUAAAUUAAAAGAAACAACCGUUUUAAGUUUUUCAUUUUAUUUUCAUUCUCGUCCGAUCACCGAAGUUAAGCGACGUCGAGCCCGGUUAGUACUUGGAUGGGUGACCGGCUGGGAAUACCGGGUGCUGUAGGCU
rnacentral:rRNA from 1 species